ensembl:rRNA 5S_rRNA 5S ribosomal RNA
UUCAAAGGUCAUACCACUCUGAAUGUACCUGACCUGAAAGCUAAGCAGGAUUGGGCCUGCUUAGCUCUUGGGUGGUGUUUGAUU